CCUUAGAGUUUGAUCCUGGCUCAGGAUGAACGCUGGCGGCGUGCCUAAUACAUGCAAGUCGAACGAAUCUCUUUUAGAGAUGAGUGGCGAACGGGUGAGUAAUACAUAGGUAACCUGCCCCUGUGCGGGGGAUAACAGGAGGAAACUCCUGCUAAUACCGCAUAGCCAUGAGCACCGCAUGGAGCUCAUGCCAAAUAUCCUUUCGGGGAUAGCACAGGGAUGGACCUAUGGCGCAUUAGCUUGUUGGCGGGGCAACGGCCCACCAAGGCAACGAUGCGUAGCCGGCCUGAGAGGGCGGACGGCCACAUUGGGACUGAGACACGGCCCAGACUCCUACGGGAGGCAGCAGUAGGGAAUUUUCGGCAAUGGGGGAAACCCUGACCGAGCAACGCCGCGUGAGCGAAGAAGGCCUUCGGGUCGUAAAGCUCUGUUGUAAAGGAAGAACGGCGCAUACAGGAAAUGGUAUGCGAGUGACGGUACUUUACCAGAAAGCCACGGCUAACUACGUGCCAGCAGCCGCGGUAAUACGUAGGUGGCGAGCGUUAUCCGGAAUCAUUGGGCGUAAAGAGGGAGCAGGCGGCCGCAAGGGUCUGUGGUGAAAGACCGAAGCUAAACUUCGGUAAGCCAUGGAAACCGGGCGGCUAGAGUGCGGAAGAGGAUCGUGGAAUUCCAUGUGUAGCGGUGAAAUGCGUAGAUAUAUGGAGGAACACCAGUGGCGAAGGCGACGGUCUGGGCCGCAACUGACGCUCAUUCCCGAAAGCGUGGGGAGCAAAUAGGAUUAGAUACCCUAGUAGUCCACGCCGUAAACGAUGGUCACUAAGUGUCGGGGGUCAAACCCCGGUGCUGCAGUCAACGCAAUAAGUGACCCGCCUGAGUAGUACGUUCGCAAGAAUGAAACU
rnacentral:rRNA from 1 species